ensembl:lncRNA
CUCAAAUGAAGGUGUAGAACCAUCUCAAGGAUGAUCAGAAGAAAUGUACAGCACCUGAGUUAAAUAUAUGAGUGUCACAGCAAAGGCUCUGAAUACUUAGGACCAUGUGAUAUUUCAGUUUUUCUGUUUUAAUAAAUCUGCAAAAAUGUCGACAAUUCUGUGUUUUUCUGUCAAUAUGGGGUGCUGUGUGUACAUUAAUGAGGAAAAAAAGAACUUAAAUGAUUUUAACAAAUGGCUGCAAUAUAACAAAGAGUGAAAAAUUUAAGAGGGUCUGAAUACUUUCCAUACCCACUGUAGAUUAAGUAUAUUAUAGAAAAAGUAUAGAAAAAAUAUAGAAAAAGUAGGCUAUAUAAAACAAAACGUUUAAUAAAAUUAAACACUUACGGGACACGAGACAAUAAAACAUGAAGAAGCAAAUGGUUGUUGUAUAACCAUGUUGAAAAGCACACACCUGUGUUGCCAUCCGAAACUCAUCGACGCCAUCUUGUGCGCCUAGCCUAGGGGCUAAUAAUCUGGCGAGGGUUCAGAAUUGGGCACAAUAAGCUUUGUCUGAUAGAAAAGAGAGGACGUUUAAAGACAAGAUUCUCUCUGUAUGUUUAAAGAUGCCAAAACCCUCUGAUGUGAUGAUAACCACGCCAGUAUACCAGCAACAGCAGUAUGAAAUCUCCAAGUUCCUGAAGACCAAGCCACUGGCUCUGGGGAUUUUGGUAGUACUGAUAGCCUUAUUGGCACUCGGUUUGACGCUCCAUAAUGAGAGUUUUCAUCUUCUCUGGUCACCAAUCAUUUCCACUAUAAUUGGAGCCAUAACAGUCUUGGCUGCAUACACACGUAAACCACGUCUGGUCAAUAUCUCACAAAUGCUCAGCUAUGUACAUUUUGCAAUAGCUGCUUUCUCCCUCCAAACUCACAUUCUUUUUGUUUUGAUUUUUCCGAAUGUGACCUCCUAUGUCCUUAUCGCCUGUGAUAUACUGAUCUUCAGCUUCUCUCUUGCUAUUGCCGUAACCUCCUGUUCCUGUUGCUGCAAUCCAAAGGUAAACAUUAUCGUCAACAGCAUCAUGCUAAUGGGUCAGCCGGACUCUUCUGCAGUGGUACAGUCCGUUAGUUCAGUCAUGUACAUGCUGCCAGCAGCACAUGGCUUAGUAACACCUGCUCCUCUGCCAAAUUGUGGUCUUUUCCCAAAUGCAUCUCCACCAAUCUACAGUCCAGUGCCAACUACACCUCCACCCAGCUACGAUAAACUCUCAGAUGCACCACCACCAAACUAUGGUCCAGUUGCAAGAACACCUCCACCAGCAUAUGAGAAUGAAGAUUUACAGACCAGAAGAUGAACUAGAUCUCGGACACAAAUGGGGAUAUUUGAUGUUUACACAAUGGAUUAUAGCGAAUGGUANAAGGGAAUUUUGUCACUUAAAAAUUGUGAUAAAAACCAGUGAUAAAGUCAUAUUUAAUGUAUACUGUUUAAAGAUACUUGGAAAAAAACUAAAUUAGUUAGUUCUGUCCUCUGUAAUGUGCCUUAGAUGUAACAAACGUGGAUGAGAAACAUGCAUGAGAAGGUUUUUUAAUUUUUUUAUUAUGUUUUUUCCCGCCAAAAUGUUUUAAUUUUAACAUAUGUAUAUAUUAACAAUGUAAAAUGUUUAUUAUUAUUUUUUUUAACAAACCUUCAGUAGGCACCAUGGAAAUUUCACCUGAUUAAUUCAGCUCAGUAUUUACAGACUGACAUUUAAAAUCCUGUCAAAAAGUGUUUUUAUUUUUUUACCUCUAAAAUGAUAAUCUCUUGAAAACAGACUUAACAGGUUUCACAUUUUAUAUCCAAGUUUGGCUUUGAUCUGUCAUUCCACAUACUAAAGUGAUGUUUCCAGCUCAUGACAACACAAAUCAUUUUAAAUACAGCAUGGCUUGUUUAAAAAUAUAAAAUAUAUAUUAGAUGAUUAUCUGAUUGCAAAGGAGAGUCAUUCAAAAAUGUAUCCAAACUUUAUCUUCACAACCAGUGUUAUUUAUUAUUUUACAUUAACUGAGACACUAUUAUAGCUUUUGUUAAUAUUUUGAAUUUCAUUUUGUUAUAUUUUUUGUUUUUAUUUUCAUUUUAAUUAAAGUUUUUUUUUUUUUUUUUGGUCAGUCGCGACAUUCCGAGGUAUGUUAUGUAAGGGAUAAUGUACAUCCAGCCGGUUGUUCUCGCAGAAUAAACCCCGACAGGGUGAUCA